rnacentral:lncRNA from 1 species
CUCCCCUUUAGCCUCCCUAUUCAGCAGACUAUCUGCUCCCCAAAUGGGACUUCUUGCUCCCUUCCAUACAUAGAAGUACUACUCAAUCUCCCGCCUCCCAUCAGACACCUCCAGACAAGGUUUGGUCCCUCAAGUCCCCUCCCUGCUAAAAGCAGCAGCUGAUUCUACUUACACCCCGGCCCCCACUCCCCUCUCUUCACCAUUCCACUUUACUUUAGAAGAAUAACCUGUGAUAAUUUUAUUUCUUCUUCUUUCUGGCAACUAAUGGACUCCUUAAAUAGCAAAAAUUGCGGCCUGUAAUUAAGAUCUUGCUUUUUAAAUGAUUAAUCAUUCUAACCCCUUUGAGCGGCAUCCUACUUAUGGGUCCUCUCACAUUGAAAUGCAGAUCUGAGACAGGGGAGGGAGCACUGCCGACCAACCAAGGAGCAAUUAAACCAUCCCAGCUGUCACUCGGUCUGUCUGUCUUGCCAGCCAGCCAGUCAUCACAGAGAAAGAGAUUGCAUGUUCCUCCCUCCUAUUCCUCCCAACUCCCCAAGAAGUCCUUUAGUUGCAAUGGCAGCAUCGAGUCUCACUGGCAUGGUGGCAAACAAUGGCAUCAUCUCAAACAGAAAUGGCAGGGGGAUAUGCAUGAAUCAGGCAGCUUGACAUCAAGUUCCUAAGCAAAAGUAGGAAUUGGAUGGUGCCAAAGGAGGAGUUGGCAUCUCAAAGAGGCCACUGAAAAGAUCAAAUGUCUAACUGAUCAAACAAUGCCAAAUGAAUGUAGCAUGGCUAAUUAGUAGCCUUGUAAUAAGCCAUUUAUGCCCCAAUGAAGCUUGAAUAUUAGUUUCAAGGCUGGCUGUACUGGUAGUAAUAAGUUAGGCUCCUGAAUUCUGUUCUAACCCUUCUAUAAGGCAUGUUAUGAUUCCCUUACAUUUAACAUUCCUCUCUCUUUGUAAGAAUAAACUACCUAUACCAUACUUGAUUCA